rnacentral:rRNA from 1 species
AAUGAACGCUGGCGGCGUGCCUAAUACAUGCAAGUCGAGCGAACGGACGAGAAGCUUGCUUUUCUGAUGUUAGCGGCGGACGGGUGAGUAACACGUGGAUAACCUACCUAUAAGACUGGGAUAACUUCGGGAAACCGGAGCUAAUACCGGAUAAUAUUUUGAACCGCAUGGUUCAAAAGUGAAAGACGGUCUUGCUGUCACUUAUAGCUGGAUCCGCGCUGCAUUAGCUAGUUGGUAAGGUAACGGCUUACCAAGGCAACGAUGCAUAGCCGACCUGAGAGGGUGAUCGGCCACACUGGAACUGAGACACGGUCCAGACUCCUAAGGGAGGCAGCAGUAGGGAAUCUUCCGCAAUGGGCGAAAGCCUGACGGAGCAACGCCGAGUGAGUGAUGAAGGUCUUCGGAUCGUAAAACUCUGUUAUUAGGGAAGAACAUAUGUGUAAGUAAAUGUGCACAUCUUGACGGUACCUAAUCAGAAAGCCACGGCUAACUACGUG